rnacentral:rRNA from 1 species
UGCCAGCCGCCGCGGUAAUACAGAGGGUGCAAGCGUUAAUCGGAUUUACUGGGCGUAAAGCGCGCGUAGGUGGCCAAUUAAGUCAAAUGUGAAAUCCCCGAGCUUAACUUGGGAAUUGCAUUCGAUACUGGUUGGCUAGAGUAUGGGAGAGGAUGGUAGAAUUCCAGGUGUAGCGGUGAAAUGCGUAGAGAUCUGGAGGAAUACCGAUGGCGAAGGCAGCCAUCUGGCCUAAUACUGACACUGAGGUGCGAAAGCAUGGGGAGCAAACAGGAUUAGAUA